CCUACGGGAGGCAGCAGUAGGGAAUCUUCCACAAUGGGCGCAAGCCUGAUGGAGCAACACCGCGUGUGUGAUGAAGGGUUUCGGCUCGUAAAACACUGUUAUAAGAGAAGAACGGCACUGAGAGUAACUGUUCAGUGUGUGACGGUAUCUUACCAGAAAGGAACGGCUAAAUACGUGCCAGCAGCCGCGGUAAU
rnacentral:rRNA from 1 species